rnacentral:tRNA from 1 species
GUUAAAUUGGCAGAUAAAGUGCAUUGAAUUUAGGAUUCAAACAUGAAUUAUAUUGUCAUUUAACA